rnacentral:rRNA from 1 species
UACGUAGGGUGCAAGCGUUAAUCGGAAUUACUGGGCGUAAAGCGUGCGCAGGCGGUUUUGUAAGACUGUCGUGAAAGCCCCGAGCGUCAACUUGGGAAUGGCAUUGAAAACUGGCGGGCUGGAGUGUGGCAGAGGGGGGUGGAAUUCCUGGUGUAGCAGUGAAAUGCGUAGAUAUCGGGAGGAAUACCAGAGGCGAAGGCGGCUACCUGGACAAUUGCUGACGCUCAGGCACGAAAGCGUGGGGAGCAAACGGG